rnacentral:rRNA from 1 species
AACGUAGGAGACAAACGUUAUCCGGAGUUACUGGGCGUAAAGGGCGUGUAGGUGGUAAUGUAAGUCUGGCGUGAAAUUUUUCGGCUUAACCGGGAAAGGUCGUCGGAGACUGCAUAACUAGAGGACGGUAGAGGCGUGUGGAAUUCCGAGUGUAGUGGUGAAAUGCGUAGAGAUCCGGAGGAACACCAGUGGCGAAGGCGACACGCUGGGCCGUACCUGACACUGAGGUGCGAAAGCGUGGGGAGCAAACAGG